AUUGAACGCUGGCGGCAGGCCUAACACAUGCAAGUCGAACGGCAGCGGGGGGAAGCUUGCUUCCCCGCCGGCGAGUGGCGGACGGGUGAGUAAUGCCUGGGGAGCUGCCCAAUCGAGGGGGAUACCAGUUGGAAACGACUGCUAAUACCGCAUACGCCCUGAGGGGGAAAGGUGGGGAUCUUCGGACCUAUCACGAUUGGAUGCAGCCGGGUGGGAUUAGCUAGUUGGUGAGGUAACGGCUCACCAAGGCGACGAUCUCUAGCUGGUCUGAGAGGAUGACCAGCCACACUGGAACUGAGACACGGUCCAGACUCCUACGGGAGGCAGCAGUGGGGAAUAUUGCACAAUGGGGGAAACCCUGAUGCAGCCAUGCCGCGUGUGUGAAGAAGGCCUUCGGGUUGUAAAGCACUUUCAGCGAGGAGGAAAGGGUGGCAGCUAAUACCUGUCAUCUGUGACGUUACUCGCAGAAGAAGCACCGGCUAACUCCGUGCCAGCAGCCGCGGUAACAC
rnacentral:rRNA from 1 species